GACUUGGUUGGGUGGUCCGCUUAACGGCGAGUACUGCCCGGGCUGAGUCUUACCUCUUGGUGAACCGGUGUGCCCUUCACUGGUGUGCAUUGGGGAACCAGGACUUUUACCUUGAGAAAAUUAGAGUGUUCAAAGCAGGCUAUCGUCUGAAUACAUUAGCAUGGAAUAAUAAAAUAGGACGUGCGGUUCUAUUUUGUUGGUUUCUAGAGUCGCCGUA
rnacentral:rRNA from 1 species